rnacentral:rRNA from 1 species
AUUGAACGCUGGCGGCAUGCCUUACACAUACAAGUCGAACGGUAACAGGUUAAGCUGGCGAGUGGCGAACGGGUGAGUAAUGUAUCGGAACGUGCCCAGUCGUGGGGGAUAACUGCUCGAAAGAGCAGCUAAUACCGCAUACGACCUGAGGGUGAAAGCGGGGGAUCGCAAGACCUCGCGCGAUUGGAGCGGCCGAUAUCAGAUUAGGUAGUUGGUGAGGUAAAGGCUCACCAAGCCGACGAUCUGUAGCUGGUCUGAGAGGACGACCAGCCACACUGGGACUGAGACACGGCCCAGACUCCUACGGGAGGCAGCAGUGGGGAAUUUUGGACAAUGGGCGCAAGCCUGAUCCAGCCAUGCCGCGUGCGGGAAGAAGGCCUUCGGGUUGUAAACCGCUUUUGUCAGGGAAGAAAAGGUUCUGGCUAAUACCUGGGACUCAUGACGGUACCUGAAGAAUAAGCACCGGCUAACUACGUG